rnacentral:sRNA from 1 species
GCUGUAUUCGUUAUUUCCAUCUUAAAUUAAUUAGAAA